rnacentral:rRNA from 1 species
AGCGAACGCUGGCGGCAGGCUUAACACAUGCAAGUCGAGCGGGCACUUUCGGGUGUCCGCGGCGGACGGGUGAGUAACGCGUGGGAACGUGCCCUCUGGUUCGGAAUAACUCAGGGAAACUUGAGCUAAUACCGGAUACGCCCUUUUGGGGAAAGGCUUGCUGCCGGAGGAUCGGCCCGCGUCUGAUUAGCUAGUUGGUGAGGUAACGGCUCACCAAGGCGACGAUCAGUAGCUGGUCUGAGAGGAUGAUCAGCCACACUGGGACUGAGACACGGCCCAGACUCCUACGGGAGGCAGCAGUGGGGAAUAUUGGACGAUGGGCGCAAGCCUGAUCCAGCCAUGCCGCGUGAGUGAUGAAGGCCUUGGGGUUGUAAAGCUCUUUUAUCCGGGACGAUAAUGACGGUACCGGAGGAAUAAGCCCCGGCUAACUUCGUG